UACGGAGGAUCCGAGCGUUAUCCGGAUUUAUUGGGUUUAAAGGGUGCGCAGGCGGGGGAUUAAGUCGGCGGUGAAAUUUUGCAGCUCAACUGUAAAAGUGCCUUCGAAACUGGUUUCCUUGAGUGUAGAUGAAGUAGGCGGAAUUUGUGGUGUAGCGGUGAAAUGCUUAGAUAUCACGCAGAACUCCGAUUGCGAAGGCAGCUUACUAAACUACUACUGACGCUCAGGCACGAAGGCGUGGGGAUCAAACAGGAUUAGAUACCCGCGUAGUCCCUGA
rnacentral:rRNA from 1 species